CCUCUGGUGGGAGACGAGCCACAGCACAAGGCUACACACUCCAGACUGUCUUGACUUAAGCUACAGAAGCCACCAACUCACCAAAAUCUGGGGAAAGUAGCCCAAAGCACCGUGGAGCCAAUUAAAGCCACACCCUCCCGACCCACACUCCAACUCCAAACCCAACCCCCUGUAGACAUAUCUCUUCUCAUCAACUAACCAAGUCACACCCUGUCGGAAGCUUUCACUAAGUUACCGUGUGCAACCACAGAAUUGAAAGAAACGCCGGAAGCUGUCCUUCUCUGAACAGACUUUAUAAAAGAUUUGCAGCUGAGACUGUGCUCUGAUACCUUCAGCUCUCUUCCAGCAGCCCUGAGUUCCUGCUCUUCUCCCAAGACUACCUCCUUGGUCAACAUUUAAUGGAACCGUAUUGAAGAGGGAGCAAACCAUUCGUUUUUCCACUUGCUUGUCAAACAAAGAAGAAUUGAUUGCUGUGGUGUACUGGGCAGAACCUACUGUGGCACAGACAGGCUUCUGAUUGAUGGAUCUUUGGAGUCCAUGAGUUUUGAACUGAAAUGUAGAGAGGACGCAUCUAGAGGGUGGAGAAUGAAUGCACAUACAGUAGUAAACAGAACCACAUGUUGGAGAAAGUAAAUGAUACCAAAGGGGCCCUAGCGCUUCCUUUCAAAAGGUAACAGAGAUAAACAGGGAAUCCAGAACCGUGUAAGGAAUCAGGUUUUGAAAUCACACAGACUUUAUCCCUCUGGUCUAGAUGGGAAAUAAAGGAGCGGCACUAGCUGAUUCCCCGGGUCCUGUGGUUCUCAGAGGGUGUGUGUGUGUGUGUGUGUGUGUGUGUGUGUGAUGGAUACCUUCUCUGCCCGGGAGAGAACACUUCUGGGCCAGAGAACAGAGCU